AACGCGACGGCUCAUUAGAAUGGCCAUUAUUUACUUGAUCUUGAUUAAUCCUAAAUGGACAACUGUGGAAAAUCUAGAGCUAAUACAUGCACCAAAGCUUUGACCUUUUUGGAAAAGCGCAUUUAUUAGAACAAAACCAUGCAGUUUCGGCUGCUUUUUGUUGACUCAAAAUAACUAAGCUGACCGCAUGGCCYUUGUGCCGGCGGCGUGUCUUUCAAGCGUCUACUUUAUCAACUUGACGGGAGCAUAAUCGACUCCCGUGGUGGUGACGGAUAACGGAGGAUCAGGGUUCGACUCCGGAGAAGGGGCCUGAGAAAUGGCCACUACGUCUAAGGAUGGCAGCAGGCGCGAAAAUUACCCACUCUCGGCUUGAGGAGGUAGUGACGAGAAAUAACGAGAUCGUUCUCUUWUGAGGCCGGUCAUCGGAAUGGGUACAAUUUAAACCCUUUAACGAGUAUCAAGGAGAGGGCAAGUCUGGUGCCAGCAGCCGCGGUAAUUCCAGCUCUCCUAAUACAUAGAAUUAUUGCUGCGGUUAAAAAGCUCGUAGUUGGAUUCGUAUCGAUACCUUGGAACCCUUAGGGUGUUUCUGAGUGUUAUCGAUUUUAUAGUAAUGUUCAGUUUUGAGUCCUUAACAGGAUUCUUAAUUUGGCAUUGCAAGUUUACUUUGAACAAAUCAGAGUGCUUCAAACAGGCGUUUUCGCUUGAAUGAUCGUGCAUGAAAUAAUAGAAAACGAUUUCGGUUCAGUUUUAUUG
rnacentral:rRNA from 1 species